rnacentral:rRNA from 1 species
CGUAGGGCGCGAGCGUUGUCCGGAUUUAUUGGGCGUAAAGAGCUCGUAGGCGGCUUGUCGCGUCGUCUGUGAAAUCCCGCGGCUCAACUGCGGGCUGGCAGUCGAUACGGGCAGGCUGGAGUUCGGUAGGGGAGACUGGAAUUCCUGGUGUAGCGGUGAAAUGCGCAGAUAUCAGGAGGAACACCGGUGGCGAAGGCGGGUCUCUGGGCAGUAACUGACGCUGAGGAGCGAAAGCGUGGGGAGCGAACAGG